rnacentral:rRNA from 1 species
AUGGGGGCAGCGGACAAGUGGCUGCUGCCGCUGGUGUCCGUCUCCUUCGUCUCGCUCAUGCUCUUCCUCUCCGCGCUCUCGGGCUACUCGGCCUCCUCCGCGCUCUUCGCGCGCCUCCCGCCGCCCAGCUACGUGCGGCGCGGGGCCGCCGCGCCGCCCGCCUUCGCGUACCUGCUCUCGGGCGGCCGCGGGGACGGCCGCGGGCUCCUGCGCCUGCUCCUCGCCGUCUACCACCCCCGGAACCAGUACCUGCUCCACCUCUCCGCGGACGCGCCCGAGGCCGAGCGCCUCGAGCUCGCCGCCGCCGUCGCGCGGGCCGCGCCCGCAAUCGCCGCCUUCGGGAACGUCGACGUCGUCGGCCGCCCCGCCGCCGGCACCCCCAUGGGCUCCUCCGGCCUCGCCGCCACGCUCCGCGCCGCCGCCGCCUUGCUCCGGCUCGACGCCGAGUGGGACUGGUUCGUCACGCUCAGCGCCGCCGAUUACCCGCUCCUCACCCAGGACGACCUGAUUCAUGUCUUCUCGUCUGUGCCAAGGCACCUCAACUUCAUCGAUCACACUAGUGAUAUUGGUUGGAAAGAGUCUCAGAGAGUGCAACCAGUGAUAGUAGAUGCUGGGAUAUACCUGGCUGGCAGGAAUCAGUUCUUCCAAUCCACAGAGAAACGGGCAACUCCAGAUGGUUUCAAAUUCUUCACAGGUUCUCCUUGGGUCAUUCUAAACCGGCGGUUUAUAGAGUACUGCAUUUUCGGAUGGGAGAACCUCCCUCGAACCCUUCUCAUGUACUUCACCAACGUGAUGCUGCCUUUGGAAGGUUAUUUCCACUCGGUCGCGUGCAACUCGGACUUCCGCAACUUCACGGUGAACAACGACUUGCGGUACGUGGCCUGGGACGACCCGCCUCAGAUGGAGCCCCGGUUUCUGAACAUCACACAUUAUGAGGAGAUUGUGGAGAGCGGGGUGCCCUUUGCUAGGAAGUUCCGGGAGAAAGAGUAUCUGCUGGACAAGAUUGAUGAGAAAAUACUCCAGCGGUGGCGCCACAGACCUGUUCCUGGAGCGUGGUGCACAGGCAGAAAGAGAUGGUUCAGCGAUCCAUGCUCCCAGUGGAGCAACGUCAACAUUGUAAGACCCGGGCCCCAAGCUGAGAAGUUCCGCAGAUACAUGGACCGGAUCCUGGAAGAAUCGAAGUCGAGCAACAGCUCAUGCGCGCAAUAG